GAUGAAGAACGUAGCGAAAUGCGAUAAGUAAUGUGAAUUGCAGAAUUCAGUGAAUCAUCGAAUCUUUGAACGCACCUUGCGCCCUUUGGCCAUUCCGAAGGGCAUGUCUGUUUGAGUAUCAUGAACACCUCAACUCUCAUGGCUCGCCAUGAUGAGCUUGGAUUUGGGGGUCUUGCUGGCCUGUGGUCGGCUCCUCUCAAAUGGAUCAGCUUGCCAGUGUUUGGUGGCAUCACAGGUGUGAUAACUAUCUGCGCUUGUGGUUUUCCAUCAGAUAACCUUCAGUGAUGGAGGUUCGCUGGAGCUCAUAAACGUCUCCCCUAAGCGGGGACAGCCCUUUGAAUGUUUGAUCUCAAAUCAGGUAGGACUACCCGCUGAACUUAAGCAUAUCAAUAAGCGGAGGA
rnacentral:misc_RNA from 1 species